AUGAUGUUGAUUACAAAAGGUGGAUGCAGCCUGGCUCAAACAGUAACCCAAGCUCCGACCACAGUCACAAUGCAGGAAGGGGAAGAUGCAAACUUGGGCUGCAAGUUUGAAGCCAGAUGGAGUGCUUAUCUUUUGUACUGGUACAAACAACUUCCCAGUGGAGGCAUGUUUUUUCUUAUUCAGCAAGAAUAUUCUAAGUCAAAUGCAAAGCAGGAUCGCUACUCUGUGAACUUUCAAAAGACAAGCAAAUCCAUCAAUCUCACCAUCUCUUCCUUACAACUGGUAGACUCAGCAAAGUACUUCUGUGUUCUCUGGCAUCCCACAGUAAUAAAGUUAACAGUGAAAGAUAAACAAAAACCUUAG